CAACACUGUAAUUAGCAAACGCGU
rnacentral:siRNA from 1 species